rnacentral:lncRNA from 1 species
GAGAGAAGCCAUUCGCCUCCUGGGGCCUCCAUGGAGUGAAUGCCUUUAAGAUGACAAGAGCUGGGAUGUAGGAGGAAGGUCAUUUUGUUAUCAGUGGAUGCCUCACCUUAGAAAAGUCCCGUAAAACUGAGGAAGAUUGUGGGAGGUAUCCUUGGGGGUCAUCUAGACCAGCACUCCAGCCUGCCCCAAAUCUACAGAUCAAAAAAGCAAAGUCCAGAGAAGUAACGUCUCAAGGUCACAUAAGUCAGUCCCUAUCAACAACAGCACUAAAAUCAAGGCUUCCUAAAACCAGUCGGAUCAUUGUUCCAUUAUAGCAUAUGGCUUUUCUUCUGGAAAAAUGUCCAACUGUAGCAGACAGAAAGGAAGCCAAGAGAGGGUGUUUACAGCAAGGAGGGGCUAUGAAAUAUCUUCACUCCAGGUUCUUUAUGAGCUGCAGUGUAUCAUUUUUAUCAGCAAUUGGAAGCAUGCUGCAUGUUUGACUCUGUGGACUCCUGCUUUACACAACAGAACAUUCCGAUGGUGUGCAUGUGCCAUACCCUGCCGUAACAAAUCUCAGCUGGUCCUCUGCUGUCCUCUGGGGAGAAUGCAUUUGAACUCAUCUCAAAAAGCUGGUUUUCUACCCUGGAGGUCUCCGAUGGCUACUGCGAGAAGAAAGCCAUGUCCCGAAAGCAGUGAUACAGAUUGGCAGCCACUGCAGAGAUGCAGAAUGUCGAAGAGUGUGUGUGUUGGAAUUCCUGGACAGACACUGCUCUGAAAGAAAAACCCUCUGGUUUUGGAAGUCUGGCUGGGCAAGGCAGGCGGAGGUCAUGGAGGGGCCGGCGUGAUGGAAUCCUCGGUGCAGCUGACUGCGCAGCCCGACACUGGCGUGGACACUGGGACGCGUCAUGCAACAUCCAACCAGAGCACACUCACGAGGACAAACAUGGGCCCACCUAUUUACCAUCAGAAAAACAAAAUCAUGCUCUUUCACUUUGAAAGAAGGGGGAAACUGGAAAGUUAUUAUUUGAAAUAAAAUGGAAUUUUAGGAUAA